AACCCACAAGUCUUGAGGCAUGUAGGGGUCAGUGGAACGAUGUGUGGAGCGGUGAAAUGUGUAGAUAUACAUCGGAACGCCAAUGGGCGAAGGCAGCUGACUGGGCAUGUCCUGACGCUCAGGUACGAAAGCGUGGGUAACGAACGGGAUUAGAUACCCCGGUAGUCCACGCCGUAAACGAUGCGCACUAGGUCGUGGUACCUCUCAUGGUUUCACGGCUGAAGGUAAACUGGUUAGUGCGCCGCCUGGGGAGUACGGUCGCAAGGCUAAAACUCAAAGGAAUUGACGGGGGCUCACACAAGCGGUGGAGCAUGUUGCUUAAUUCGAGGCAACGCGAAGAACCUUACCUGGGCUUGACAUGUAUGGAUUAACUUAUUGAAAGAUAGGCCACGCCCUUUGGGUGGAACAUACACAGGUGCUGCAUGGCUGUCGUCAGCUCGUGCUGUGAAGUGUUGGGUUAAGUCCCUUAACGAGCGCAACCCCUAUCGUUAGUUACUCACGCGUCAUGGCGAGGACUCUAGCGAGACUGCCGGUGUCAAACCGGAGGAAGGUGGGGAUGACGUCAAGUCAGCAUGGCCCUUACGCCCAGGGAUGCAAACGUGCUACAAUGGUGUGGACAGAGCGAAGCGAUACCGCGAGGUGGAGCAAAUCGCAAAAACCGCACCCCAGUUCGGAUAGCAGGCUGCAAUUCGCCUGCUUGAAGUUGGAAUCGCUAGUAAUCGCGUAUCAGCAUGACGCGGUGAAUACGUUCCUGAGCCUUGUACACACCGCCCGUCACGUCAUGGAAGCUGCUAGUGCCCGAAGUCACCUCGGUUCAGGGGUGCCUACGGCAAGAGUGGUGACUGGGACGAAGUCGUAACAAGGUAGCCGUAGGAGAACCUGCGGCUGGAUCACCU
rnacentral:rRNA from 1 species